ACGCCCAAGGUCCCGCCCUACUUCCAUUGAAAAAGAAAUGAAAGCGGUGUCUUUUGUUUUUCACGCUAUUUAUAUAGGCUAUCGCAGUUGUAGUUUUUUUUGUCGAUAUAAUGUUACAGGCAGAGUAGAAUAAUACGAACACGCCGACUUUCAUUCCGCUCAUAAUGUCUAAACUACAGUUGCUGAACGUGUGUCUUACUGAACGACCAACAGCGGCUGCUGCUCUAGAGAUGUCCGUAGCCAAAGAGACAACCAUACCAGAGCUGCAUGAAGAAGUCUACCGUUUGAAGGAGGAGAAUGGCCGUCUACGAAGACUGUUGGAUUUGGUUUUCAAGCCAGAGUUAAAGUUACGCAGAGCAGAUUUCCAGCAUAUCCCCAUAUCUGAAGAGAAUCCCCAUGAGCAGCAGGAGUGGAGCCCCAGUCUGAUUCAGGAGGACCCAGUACCCACACAGAUUAAAGAGGAACAGGAGGAACUACAGACCAGUCAAGAGGAAGAUCAGCUUCUAGGGCCCUUUCAUACCAAAGACUCCAUAUUCACUUCUCCCUUUGUGGAAAGUGACUGUGAUCAGGAGAACCCAUCUCAGCCCUCACAUCUACACCAAACCCAAACUGUGGAGGACAGAGAGAGGGACCCUCUACUCACUAACACAUCUAUAGAGAUCAAACUAGAACCUGAUGUAGAGGAUUACAUAGUAUCAGAACCAGUCAGUGACUCUCAGCCCCUCUCCGCAGUAACUCCAGACUGUUCUGCAGCUCAGAGUGAAAACAGGAAAAGGGAUGAGGUGGAGAGUGGAGGACAACAAUCAGGGUCUAAGACACUCGAAUCCAAGAGAAAACAGACAAAGAAAGGAGAAAGGUUCCAUACCAGAACUGGAGGCAGGAGGGGUAAAUCCAAGAAGCGUACGAUCCGUAUGUGUGGGGAGUGUGAGCCAUGCAGGAGGACUGAGGACUGUGCUCAGUGUGAUUUCUGUAAAGACAUGAAGAAGUUUGGAGGAUCCAACAAGCGCAAACAGAAGUGCAGAUUCAGGCAGUGUGACGUCCACGCUCCGGGUGAGUCCAUUCCGCGCUCCGGGUGAGUCCAUUCCGCGCUCCGGGUGAGUCCAUUCCGCGCUCCGGGUGAGUCCAUUCCGCGCUCCGGGUGAGUCCAUUCCGCGCUCCGGAAAUGCUGCGUGUGAAGGAUGAGGAGAGCAGGCGGAUCCUGAGAGGAGGACAUCGGUCUGAUCACUACAGUGAGAAUGAGAUGGAAUGUGAUGAAGCUGCACGCCUGUCACUAUAAAAAUGCACUGAACCAACAUGCAUGGUUGUUGAUGACACUCUGUUUAGAUGAACAGAAUGAAAUAGUCUCUAUAAUGCACAGUGCUUUAACUCAGACAGCUGUUUGUAGCUGCUGGAAGUGUUUCAAAGCCUAAACUUAACUCAGGAUGGAAGUUUCCAGUGCUACUGUUUUUGCCAUUUAAUAUUUUUAUUAAAACAAAAUCAGACAACCACAUAGUAGAAUAGUUGAUCUAUUUAUCUAGUCUCCUUGUUGUGUGUAAUAUGUGAGAUAAAUAUUCCUCUCGAGGUGCAUUCAAGUUGUGGGAGCCAUAGGAGGGAAACAUGUUCUCUGACAAGCAGUCAAUGCACAGCAAGUCUUAAUGUUAUCUCGCAAAAACAUGUUUGAAAGCAGUUUUGUCCCUUAAAUGAGGGGGAACCCAGUUUUACAUUUCUACAACGUUUAUUUCUACUCCUUCAAUUGCGUGUGGCAUCGUUAAACAAAUGCAGAGUUUCAAGCUUUAGGUGCAACACAGCUCUCAACACAGCAAAUAAAAUCAUUAAAAAUCC